rnacentral:antisense_RNA from 1 species
AAUAGCCAAAUAUAGCACUUAGGCUCAGGGUCAAGUUGGUUAUUUUUUCUUACACCCCACUCCCAGUGGAGCCCAGGUAUGCACCCCCAAAAUUAAAAGCCUUGAGUACAAGAAGAAAAUCACCCAUUUAAUAAGAUAAAAAAGGAUAACAAUAACAAAAACAGCCAGACUAAUAGUACCAUUUGU